CCUGUCUUGUCUUUCCUCCAAGUUAUACAUGUUAGGUUCCUUUAACCUUUCCUUGUAAGUUUUAUCCUGCAAUCCAUGAAACAGUUCAGUAGCCCUUCUCUGAACUCUCUCCAAAGUAUCAAUAUCCUUCUGGAGAUACGGUCUCCAGUACUGCGUACAAUACUACAAGUGAGGUCUCACCAGUGUUCUGUACAAUGGCAUGAGCACUUCCCUCUUUCUACUUCUAAUACCU
rnacentral:lncRNA from 1 species